rnacentral:misc_RNA from 1 species
UCCGGCUUUCGCCGGCUGUCUCUCUAAAGUGCCCAGCAUUACCUGAUGGCAACUAGAGAUAAGGGUUGCGCUCGUUGCGGGACUGAACCCAACAUCUCACGACACGAGCUGACGACAACCAUGCACCACCUGUCUCCUCUGUCCCGAAGGCCUACGCUAUCUCUAACGUAUUCAGAGGGAUGUCAAGACCUGGUAAGGUUCUUCGCGUUGCGUCGAAUUAAACCACAUGCUCCACCGCUUGUGCGGGCCCCCGUCAAUUCCUUUGAGUUUCAGUCUUGCGACCGUACUCCCCAGGCGGAGUGCUUAAUGGGUUUCCUUCGGCACUGUAGGUCGUUGACCUCCAACACCUAGCACUCAUCGUUUACGGCGUGGACUAC